rnacentral:rRNA from 1 species
CCUACGGGAGGCAGCAGUGAGGAAUAUUGGUCAAUGGGCGCGAGCCUGAACCAGCCAAGUAGCGUGAAGGAUGACUGCCCUACGGGUUGUAAACUCCUUUUAUAAAGGAAUAAAGUGAGGCACGUGUGCCUUUUUGUAUGUACUUUAUGAAUAAGGAUCGGCUAACUCCGUGCCAGCAGCCGCGGUAAUACGGUGGAUCCGAGCGUUACCCGGAUUUAUUGGGUUUAAAGGAAGCGUAGAUGGGUUGUUAAGUCAGUUGUGAAAGUUUGCGGCUCAACCGUAAAAUUGCAAUUGAUACUGGCAGCCUUGAGUACAGUGGAGGUAGGCGGAAUUCGUGGUGUAGCGGUGAAAUGCUGAGAUAUCACGAAGAACUCCGAUUGCGAAGGCAGCUUACUAAACUGCCACUGACAUUGAUGCUCGAAAGUGUGGGUAUCAAACAGGAUUAGAUACCCGUGUAGUC